UACGUAGGGGGCUAGCGUUGUCCGGAAUCAUUGGGCGUAAAGCGCGUGUAGGCGGCCCGGUAAGUCCGCUGUGAAAGUCGGGGGCUCAACCCUCGAAAGCCGGUGGAUACUGUCGGGCUAGAGUGCGGGAGAGGCGAGUGGAAUUCCUGGUGUAGCGGUGAAAUGCGCAGAUAUCAGGAGGAACACCGAUUGCGAAGGCAGCUCGCUGGAACGUAACUGACGCUGAGACGCGAAAGCGUGGGGAGCGAACAGG
rnacentral:rRNA from 1 species